UACAGAGGGGGCAAGCGUUGUUCGGAAUUACUGGGCGUAAAGGGCGCGUAGGCGCCUUCUAAGUCGAACGUGAAAUCCCCGGGCUCAACCCGGGAACUGCGUCCGAUACUGGAAGGCUUGAAUCCGGGAGACGGAUGCGGAAUUCCAGGUGUAGCGGUGAAAUGCGUAGAUAUCUGGAGGAACACCGGUGGCGAAGGCGGCAUCCUGGACCGGCAUUGACGCUGAGGCGCGAAAGCCAGGGGAGCAAAGCGGG
rnacentral:rRNA from 1 species